rnacentral:rRNA from 1 species
UACGUAGGGUGCAAGCGUUAAUCGGAAUUACUGGGCGUAAAGCGCACGUAGGCGGCUUUGUAAGUUAGAGGUGAAAGCCCGGGGCUCAACCCUGGAAUUGCCUUUAAGACUGCAUCACUUGAACAUCGGAGAGGUAAGUGGAAUUCCGAGUGUAGAGGUGAAAUUCGUAGAUAUUCGGAAGAACACCAGUGGCGAAGGCGACUUACUGGACGAUUGUUGACGCUGAGGUGCGAAAGCGUGGGGAGCAAACAGG